CGAGCGGAGAAAUGGGAGCUUGCUCCCAUUUCUCAGCGGCGGACGGGUGAGUAACACGUGGGCAACCUGCCCUACAGACUGGGAUAACUCCGGGAAACCGGAGCUAAUACCGGGUAAUACAUAGCAUCGCAUGAUGCAACGUUGAAAGUUGGCCUUUGGCUAACACUGGAGGAUGGGCCCGCGGCGCAUUAACUAGUUGGGAAGGGAACGGCUUACCAAGGGCACGAUGCGUAACCGAACUGAAAGGGUGAUCGGCCACACUGGGACUGAAACACGGCCCAAACUCCUACGGGAGGCAGCAGUAGGGAAUCUUCCGCAAUGGACGAAAGUCUGACGGAACAACGCCCCGUGAGUGACGAAGGCCUUCGGGUCGUAAAGCUCUGUUGUUAGGGAAGAACAAGUACCGUUCGAAUAGGGCGGUACCUUGACGGUACCUAACCAGAAAGCCACGGCUAACUACCUGCCAGCAGCCGCGGUAAUACGUAAGUGGCAAGCGUUGUCCGGAAUUAUUGGGCGUAAAGCGCGCGCAGGGCGUCUCUUAAGUCUGAU
rnacentral:rRNA from 1 species